rnacentral:rRNA from 1 species
CCUACGGGUGGCAGCAGUGAGGAAUAUUGGUCAAUGGACGAGAGUCUGAACCAGCCAAGUAGCGUGAAGGAUGACUGCCCUAUGGGUUGUAAACUUCUUUUAUAUGGGAAUAAAAUGUUCCACGUGUGGGAUUUUGUAUGUACCAUAUGAAUAAGGAUCGGCUAACUCCGUGCCAGCAGCCGCGGUAAUCCGGAGGAUCCGAGCGUUAUCCGGAUUUAUUGGGUUUAAAGGGAGCGUAGGUGGAUUGUUAGGUCAGUUGUGAAUGUUUGCGGCUCAACCGUAAAAUUGCAGUUGAAACUGGCAGGCUGGAGUGCGGUAGAGGUGGGCGGAAUGCGUGGUGUAGCGGUGAAAUGCUUAGAUAUCACGAAGAACUCCGAUUGCGAAGGCAGUUCACUGGACUGCAACUGACACUGAGGCUCGAAAGUGUGGGUAUCAAACAGGAUUAGAUACCCCUGUAGUC